GUAAGAGCGAUGAUAUACAUUGUACUUAAGUUAAAAGAACUCAUUGGUACAUGUCAGCGCCGGGAUUCGAACCCGCAUCUCUGGCGUGAGAAGCGGGCGCUUACCCGACUGAGCUACCACCGCUCGCUAAACUGUAUCGCUUCUACUACAAGAAAUUCAACAUCAUCUUGAAUUUAUUUCCACCAGAAAUAAUGCAGUUACUCCAAUGAACCAGUUGUUAUGCACACUCCGAUAUUAUGCAACUGGCAGUCAGUUAAUUACUUGUGGAGAUGUGAUAGGUGUGGAAGAACCAACAGCUUGCAGAAUCAUUCAUAGAGUUACUCAUGCAAUAGCAUUAUUGUAUAAAAUAUACAUUAAAUCUCCUGAUACCAUUCAGGAACAACGUUUUUUUGCUCUCUAUAAUGUGCAAGUAUGGUUCCAAUACAUUGCACAAUAAAUCUUGUUCUUCCCUUGUAAAAUUAGGGGCACGAACACGAGAAGAAGUUGCUUGACUAUUCAUUUUACUUUGAAAUCACAACAACAAAUAAAUACAAAACACCACCACGCGGUGAAAGCCGAAAUAAGUUUUGUUUAUGUUUUGAAAUAAGUAGUGUUAUUUUCUCUAUGUUUGAAAUUGAUAGAUUGACUCCGUUUUACGCUGAGUCGUUUCGAAUGUUCAAUAAAAAAUAUGAAGUCUCUUAUUAAAAGAUGUGGAACUGAACGUAAAUAACAAAUCGCAGGAUGCUAAACGCAUUUAACUAAAUAGUAAUCGAAAGACCAUGGUGAAUUAUGAAGCUAAACAUGUUUAGGAUAAAAUUGUUUAGUGCAUUAAACGAAAUUAGCUAAAUGAAUUUAUGUAGUAUUUAAAUAGAAGUUCGUAACAGCCACCCU